CCUACGGGAGGCAGCAGUAGGGAAUAUUGCUCAAUGGGGGAAACCCUGAAGCAGCAACGUCGCGUGGAGGAUGAAGGUCUUCGGAUUUUAAACUCCUUUUGUUAGAGAAGAUAAUGACGGUAUCUAACGAAUAAGCACCGGCUAACGCCGUGCCAGCAGCCGCGGUAAUACGGAGGGUGCAAGCGUUACUCGGAAUUACUUGGCGUAAAGGGCGCGUAGGCGGGAUAGCAAGUCAGAUGUGAAAACUGAUGGGUUAACCCUAGAACUGCAGUUGAAGCUGUUAUUCUAGAGUAUGGGAGAGGUAGGUGGAAUGCUUGGUGUAGGGGUAAAAUCCGUAGAGAUCAAGAAGAACACUCAUUGCGAAGGCAGCCUGCUAGAACAUAACUGACGCUGAUGCGCGAAAGCGUGGGGAGCAAACAGGAUUAGAUACCCUUGUAGUC
rnacentral:rRNA from 1 species